rnacentral:snoRNA from 1 species
CAGUCUUUGCCAACACUCUGGCCUGUACCGGCACGAAUGUUUUCAUUUGAGCAAAAUCUCUACGGUACAGGCCUAUUUUGGUGCAAAGAAGAUCAAUUGACCAACUACUCACCGCAGUAUCCUUGGUUAUGCAUGAGGAUUCCUUUCUUUUCGAAGGAAGACAUGCUCAUAUAUAUCCUAUGGGUAUGGCGGUCCAUCUUGAAGGUCUACAU